rnacentral:rRNA from 1 species
AGACCCGAAACCCGGUGAUCUAGCCAUGGGCAGGUUGAAGGUUGGGUAACACUAACUGGAGGACCGAACCGACUAAUGUUGAAAAAUUAGCGGAUGACCUGUGGCUGGGGGUGAAAGGCCAAUCAAACCGGGAGAUAGCUGGUUCUCCCCGAAAGCUAUUUAGGUAGCGCCUCGUGAAUUCAUCUCCGGGGGUAGAGCACUGUUUCGGCUAGGGGGCCAUCCCGGCUUACCAACCCGAUGCAAACUGCGAAUACCGGAGAAUGUUAUCACGGGAGACACACGGCGGGUGCUAACGUCCGUCGUGAAGAGGGAAACAACCCAGACCGCCAGCUAAGGUCCCAAAGUCAUGGUUAAGUGGGAAACGAUGUGGGAAGGCCCAGACAGCCAGGAUGUUGGCUUAGAAGCAGCCAUCAUUUAAAGAAAGCGUAAUAGCUCACUGGUCGAGUCGGCCUGCGCGGAAGAUGUAACGGGGCUAAACCAUGCACCGAAGCUGCGGCAGCGACACUCAGGUGUUGUUGGGUAGGGGAGCGUUCUGUAAGCCUGUGAAGGUGGCCUGUGAGGGUUGCUGGAGGUAUCAGAAGUGCGAAUGCUGACAUAAGUAACGAUAAAGCGGGUGAAAAGCCCGCUCGCCGGAAGACCAAGGGUUCCUGUCCAACGUUAAUCGGGGCAGGGU